rnacentral:tRNA from 1 species
ACCGGACCCGUAGUUCAAUGGAUAGAAUAAAAGAUUCCGGUUCUUUAGAUAGGCGUUCGAAUCGCCUCGGGGGUA